GAUGAACGCUGGCGGCGUGCUUAACACAUGCAAGUCGAACGGAAAGGCUCCUGCUUGCAGGGGUACUCGAGUGGCGAACGGGUGAGUAACACGUGGGUGAUCUGCCCUGCACUUCGGGAUAAGCCUGGGAAACUGGGUCUAAUACCGGAUAGGACGAUGGUUUGGAUGACAUUGUGGAAAGUUUUGUCGGUGUGGGAUGAGCUCGCGGCCUAUCAGCUUGUUGGUGGGGUAAUGGCCUACCAAGGCGUCGACGGGUAGCCGGCCUGAGAGGGUGUACGGCCACAUUGGGACUGAGAUACGGCCCAGACUCCUACGGGAGGCAGCAGUGGGGAAUAUUGCACAAUGGGCGCAAGCCUGAUGCAGCGACGCCGCGUGGGGGAUGACGGCCUUCGGGUUGUAAACUCCUUUCGCUAGGGACGAAGCGCAAGUGACGGUACCUGGAGAAGAAGCACCGGCUAACUACGUG
rnacentral:rRNA from 1 species